CCUACUGUGUGCAGCAGUGAGGAAUCUUGGUCAAUGGGCGCGAGCCUGAACCAGCCAAGUCGCGUGAGGGAUGACUGUCCUAUGGGUUGUAAACUUCUUUUAUCGUGGAAUACAAUACGCCCCGUGUGGUAUUUUGUGUGUACCCUAUGAAUAAGGAUCGGCUAACUCCGUGCCAGCAACCGCGGUAAUCCGGAGGAUGCGAGUGUUAUCCGGAUUUAUUGGGUUUAAAGGGAGCGUAGGUGGAUUGUUAAGUCAGUUGUGAAAGUUUGCGGCUCACCCUCAAAAGUGCCGUUGAACCAGGCAGUCUUGAGUAAGUGAGAGGUGGGCGGAAUGCGUGGGGUAGCGGUGAAAUGCUUAGAUAGCACGAAGAACUCCGAUUGCGAAGGCAGCUUAACGGAGUGCAACUGACACUGAUGCUCGAAAGUGUGGGUAUCAAACAGGAUGAGAUACCCGAGUAGUC
rnacentral:rRNA from 1 species